AAAGGACACGGCGGAGCAGAGAGAGAUGCUCGGCCGCUCCUCCUCCUCCGGGUCCAGGACUUGCUUCUUAUUUGCUGGACGCUGAUCUCCCUGCAGCCCUCGGAGGCGGCGGCCGCGCUGCUUUCAUUUCGGGGCUGUCAUCACCAGAAACGCCGGCUGCCGGCCGCCCACCAGCUCGGCUCCAGCCAGGCAGUGGUCUCUACAAGGAUGUCUGACCUAGAGUGGAGAUGGGGUGACUGAGGAUGGAAAUCUAGUCUGAACUCCACUCUCCAAUUUGGCAGAAGACCUGUGUCUUACUCAGCUUUGUGUUCCUUACAUCUCUGUAGCACACACUCCCCUGCGAAGGGGUUUUAUAAGGAACCCAGAGCCAAGACAAAGGAAUCAGGAGGAAUUCUAGCACAAUGGGAAGCCCCUGAAGGGUUUAAGCAGAAGACAAUAAAAGACUCCGAGAAGUGGCAGCAGGGAGUGGAGGAAAAAAAGCCUGGAAUUUACCCUGCUUUCUGCUCUGCACAUGGAAUGCCCCCUCCAUGUGUCCAUUGUCAUCCAAGGUGUUUUGACAGGUCUAGAGUGGGGUAAAAGAAUGGUAUUUAUUCAGGCCUAAUAUUGAGGCUUGGGGCUGGGCUGUAUAUCAGAGGGCAUGCAUAGACAAAGCUGAACAAAGGGGCACACCUACUGGGCACCUGCUGGGCACUUCUCUAAAAGUGGCACUGAGACAUCAUUAGGAUGAAUUAGAACUAGGGCACCAGUUAACCCGGGCCUGCAUGCUAGUGAAAGGAAAAUUGCGCCUCUCCCUCAACCCUGCUCCAGACAACUGAAUGGUGACUUCAAGAACAAAUAUUCAGGCUGGGUGCGGUGGCUCACACCUGUAAUCCCAACACUUUUGGAGGCUGAGGUGAGUGGAUCACCUGAGGUCAGGAGUUCGAGACUAGCCUGGCCAACAUGGUGAAACCCUGUUUCUACUAAAGAUACAAAAAUUAGCUGGGCGUGGUGGUGGGUGCCAGUAAUCUCAGCUAGGAGGCUGAGGCAGGAGAAUCGCUUGAGCCUGGGAGGCAGAGGUUGUUGAGAUGGUGCCAUUGCACUUCAGCCUGGACGACAAGAGCAUAACUCUGUCUCAAAAAAAAAAAAAAAAAAAAAAGAACAAAUAUUCAAAGGAUAUUAAUUAGAAGGGGAGUGACAUUGUAGACCAGACCAUGCUCCAUCAUAUAAAAGCUGUAUUGUUGGCAAAGUUGUUGAGCAUCUCAUGGCCUCAUUUUCCUCGUCUGUAAACUAGUGCCUUGUCACACAAAUCUGUUAUGAGGAUUACAUGAGUGCCUAGGCAGAUGACAACUGUUAUGUAGCAAAUCUGUAGUGAGAAAUGAACCCAGAAUAUGCAGCACAAAAUGCCUCCUUAACUCCAUAGUCAGGUUAGAAAAAGAGAAGAGAAGGAAAGAGGAGAGAGAGAACCUGUCAUCAUAGAGAGAUCCCUACCCCCAACCCCCUCUGCUGGCUACCAAGGUAAGGUAGACCUGCCCACAAGGCUGGAAGUUUCGGAAAGGUAAAGAAAGUCUAAACACAUGCACAUACAAACACUAUUACUUAACAUUUUAGUAAUAUUAAGUCAUAUAACAUUUGGUGCCCAGGGUAAACUUCCAUUUGAUUAGAGGUUCCGGUUAGGUUAGUAUCAUCUCAAAAUUUACCUAAUUUAGUCUUCUCAUCAACCUCUCAAAGUAGUGUCUGCAUAUUUGGAUAUCAUUAACCUGUAGUCAAAACCAGGAGAUGUUGUGGUUCAUACAUAUUUUGUACACAUAAAGAUUCGACUUCAAUUUCUGCAGAAUAAGGUCAUAGCACACUUAGUAUUUAAUGUAUUUAAAGACAUGUAUGCAAAGAGAAAACAUGACAGCAUUUACCUCAUGCCCCUUAGCAUGAAAGCAUACAACACUAAUGAUAACUUUAUUAUCCUAUUUUUGAAUAUCACCAGCAACCUGAGAAAUUAUUUACGUUCAGAUACAAACAGGUCAAAUAUAAAUGGCCACAAUAGGAGCCAACUAUUAAUACAUAAUUAUAAAAUAUUAAGUCCCUUCUGAAGAAGCAAAAAAUGGCAUUUGCGGCUGGGCACGGUGGCUCACGCCUGUAAUCCCAGCACUUUGGGAGGCCGAGGUGGGUGGAUCACCUGAGGUCAGGAGUUCAAGACCAGCCUGACCAACAUGGUGAAACCCCAUCUCUACUAAAAAUACAAAAUUUAGCUGGGUGUGGUGGCGGGCACCUGUAAUCCCAGCUACUCGGAAGGCUGAGGCGUGAAAAUUGCUUGAACCCGGGAGGUGGAGGUUGUGGUAGGCCGAGAUCCUGCCACUGCACUCCAGCCUGGGUGACACAGCGAGACUCCAUCUCCAA
rnacentral:lncRNA from 1 species